rnacentral:rRNA from 1 species
UUGGAGGGCAAGUCUGGUGCCAGCAGCCGCGGUAAUUCCAGCUCCAAUAGCGUAUAUUAAAGUUGUUGCAGUUAAAAAGCUCGUAGUUGAAUUUCGAGAUCGGCUUACUGGUCGUGCUAUUGUACGUACUGGUAUAAUCGGUUUCUCCUUUCUGACGAAUCAUAAUGCCAUUAAUUUGGUGUUUUGGGGAAUCAGGACUGUUACUUUGAAAAAAUUAGAGUGUUUAAAGCAGGCUCACGCUUGAAUACAUUAGCAUGGAAUAACGGAAUAGGACGUUUGAUUCUAUUUUGUUGGUUUCUAGGAUCGACGUAAUGAUUAAUAGGGAUAGUUGGGGGCAUUAGUAUUCAAUUGUCAGAGGUGAAAUUCUUGGAUUUAUUGAAGACUAACUACUGCGAAAGCAUUUGCUAAGGAUGUUUUCAUUAAUCAAGAACGAAAGUUAGGGGAUCGAAGACGAUCAGAUACCGUCGUAGUCUUAACCAUAAACUAUGCCGACUAGGGAUCGGAUGAUGUUAAUUUUAAUGACUCAUUCGGCGCCUUACGGGAAAC